GGGGAAGGGUCUUGUGAAUAUGCUGAGCUGGGAAAGCUUCCGGAGCCUUGCAGUUCUGUGUACUCCUUGAGCCUUGGCUGUGCCUGAGCUAUGGGAAAUGGGGAUGAGAACGGUCAGUUUCCUUCCACGUGACUUCUAAGCCUUCCCGUGCGCCACAGGCGGUGACCUUCUCCUUCUGUAGCGGCUGUAAACUGUUACAGAGUCACACUGCACAACAAACCUGACACAAGAGAUUUACUGGGACAGACACAAGAGGGUGGCAGCCUCUGCUCAGAGGAACUCCCCAGGCCUUCCAUCAGUGCCUGGCCCAGCUCUGUGGUCAAGUGCAAGAGUAACGUCACUCUCCGAUGCAGGACUCAUUUCCAGAAUGUUAUAGUCACUCUGGGAAGGUUGCACAACUCUCAGUAUCGGCAACAGAAGCAAUCACUGGGAAAGGAAGCUGAGUUCCACCUCACUAAGCUGCAGCUUGAGAUGCUGGGGGCUAUUUCUGUACCUACAGAGCAGCAGCCUCCCACAGUGGUCAGGACAGUCAGCUCUUACAGUUGGAGGUCACAGGUGAGCAGAGCAGCCCAUGUUUAAAGCAGUAUGUUUUAAAACUACAGUUAUUUACUCCUCAUGUGUGUACAUGUGUACACAUGCAUGCCACAAGCAUGUGUGAAGGGGUCAGAGGAAAAUUUGUGGCACUUGGCUUCUCUCUUCACUGUUUGGGGCUGGGGAUCAAACUCAGGUCUUUAUACUGAACAGCAAACACCUUCACCCACUGAGCCAACCCUCC
rnacentral:lncRNA from 1 species